UGAUGUCGGUCAUCUACCCCCCUCGAAUGUGAUGCCGACGCUGAAUGCGGCGCGCCUCUUCCCGCGCUGCAUCUCAAUCGAGCCCGCUGCCACCUCCUCCCGGCAGCGGGCUUUUCU
rnacentral:sRNA from 23 species